UCAAGUUUGAUUUGUAAAAGGAAAUUAAAAUAAAUAAAUAAAUUUGACCAAAGGUAAAUGACAAAGCAAAGCGUGAAGAUUCAAAAAUGGGAAAGUUGAGGGGGGAAUACUCAUUGCAUUGCAGAAACAGUUAAAGCUACCGAGUCAAAACCCAUCCAUCUGCCAUCAGAAUUGAAUCGGAUCUGAGUCAACUCGCUUGAAUCGCUUCCCAUUUUCAGCAACUUCAUCUCUCCCUUUUCCUUCAUCAUCUCUACAGCUUUCGUCCUUGUUUCACCUACCAAUUUCCAUAAAGCAUCAUUCCUAUUCCUAUUUGCAAACAACAAACACAAUCUCUCUUUGCAACCCUCGGAUCUCUUCAAGUUACCCAGAAGCUGAGUCAACUCAAUAUAACUCAAACUCGGAAUUCUCUCCCCGAGUUCCAUAACUCUGAUUGAGAUUUCACGUUGAACAGACCUGUAAUCCUCAGAAACCAACCGAACUAUCUCAUAGAUCAAAUUAUUCUUUAGAAGAUGUAAAGAAUCAGGAAAUUCACUUACUACUUC
rnacentral:misc_RNA from 1 species